rnacentral:rRNA from 1 species
UACGAAGGGGGCUAGCGUUGUUCGGAAUUACUGGGCGUAAAGCGCACGUAGGCGGACAUUUAAGUCAGGGGUGAAAUCCUGCAGCUUAACUGCAGAAGUGCCUUUGAUACUGUCGGUCUUGAGGGAGAUAGGGGUGUGCGGAACUUCCAGUGGAGCGGUGAAAUGCGUUGAUAUUGGAAGGAACGCCGGAGGCGAAAGCGGCGCACUGGAUCUCUUCUGACGCUGAGGCGCGAAAGCUAGGGGAGCAAACGGG